rnacentral:lncRNA from 1 species
UGACGCUGGAAGGCUGCAGCAUAGACGCCGACAUCGACAGUUUCAUCCAGGCCAAGAGCACGGGCACAGAGCCCCCCGGUUCUCUGGACUGCUGCACGGAAGUCCCAAGACCACUUCGUUGGCAGCUUCUGCUGCGUCCACAGAGACCCUGACCCCCACCCCCGAGCGGAAUGAGGGUGUCUACACAGCCAUCGCAGUGCAGGAGAUACAGGGAAACCCGGCCUCACCAGCCCAGGAGUACCGGGCGCUCUACGAUUAUACAGCGCAGAACCCAGAUGAGCUGGACCUGUCCGCGGGAGACAUCCUGGAGGUGAUCCUGGAAGGGGAGGAUGGCUGGUGGACUGUGGAGAGGAACGGGCAGCGUGGCUUCGUCCCUGGUUCCUACCUGGAGAAGCUUUGAGGAAGGGCCAGGAGCCCCUUCGGACCUGCCCUGCCAGUGGAGCCAGCAGUGCCCCCAGCACUGUCCCCACCUUGCUAGGGCCCAGAACCAAGCGUCCCCCAGCCCCGAGAGGGAGCCUGUCGUCUCCCAGGGAAUAAAGGAGUGCGUUCUGUUCUC